rnacentral:rRNA from 1 species
UACAGAGGGUGCGAGCGUUAAUCGGAAUUACUGGGCGUAAAGCGUGCGUAGACGGUUAUUUAAGUCGGGUGUGAAAGCCCCGGGCUCAACCUGGGAACUGCAUCUGUGACUGCAUCGCUGGAGUGCGGCAGAGGGGGAUGGAAUUCCGCGUGUAGCAGUGAAAUGCGUAGAUAUGCGGAGGAACACCGAUGGCGAAGGCAAUCCCCUGGGCCUGCACUGACGCUCAUGCACGAAAGCGUGGGGAGCAAACAGG